rnacentral:rRNA from 1 species
CCUACGGGAGGCAGCAGUGAGGAAUAUUGGUCAAUGGCCGGAAGGCUGAACCAGCCAAGUCGCGUGAGGGACGACUGCCCUACGGGUUGUAAACUUCUUUUAUAAGGGAAGAAAGAAUGCUACGUGUAGCAUGAUGCCUGUACUUUAUGAAUAAGGAUCGGCUAACUCCGUGCCAGCAGCCGCGGUAAUACGGAGGAUGCGAGCGUUAUCCGGAUUUUUUGGGUUUAAAGGGUGCGUGGGUGGUUUUUUAAGCUGGUGUGAAAACGUCGGGGGUUAACCUUGAAUUGCCAAUAAUACUGUCAGACUCGAGUUCAGACGAGGUAGGCUGAAUUAGUUAAGUAGCGGUGAAAUGCUUAGAUAUCACUUAGAACUCCGAUAGCGAAGGCAGCUUACCAGACUGCGACUGAUGCUGAAGCACGAGAGCGUGGGUAGCGAACAGGAUUAGAUACCCGAGUAGUC